UCGGGAAUUUUGGGCAAUGGGCGAAAGCCUGACCCAGCAACGCCGCGUGAGGGAUGAAGUAUUUCGGUAUGUAAACCUCGAAAGAAUGGGAAGAAUAAAUGACGGUACCAUUUAUAAGCUCCGGCUAACUACGUGCCAGCAGCCGCGGUAAUACGUAGGGGGCAAGCGUUGUCCGGAUUUACUGGGUGUAAAGGGCGCGCAGGCGGGAUAAAAAGUCAGUGGUGAAAUCCUACAGCUUAACUGUAGAACUGCCUUUGAUACUUUUAUUCUUGAGUUCGGGAGAGAGAGACGGAAUUCCAGGUGUAGUGGUGAAAUACGUAGAUAUCUGGAAGAACACCAGUUGCGAAGGCGGUCUCUUGGUCCGACACUGACGCUGAGGCGCGAAAGCGUGGGGAGCAAACA
rnacentral:rRNA from 1 species